rnacentral:rRNA from 1 species
UUCCUCCAUCCAUGGAGGUCGUACGGUGAAUGCCUUAGUUGAGAUGGUAUUACUGAAAAAGCUUUACAAUCUUGUUAUCCGAAUUGGCUGUUUGGUUGUGCUUGAAACAAAGCCCAACGGGACAGCGAAACAGUUUGCUUGGCGACGAUAGCGAACGGGAACCACCCGAUCCCAUUCCGAACUCGGAAGUGAAAACGUUCAGCGCCGAUGAUAGUGUGGAUUGCCCAUGCGAAAGUAGGACAUUGCCAAGC